GCCUCCUGAGUACCUGGGACUACAAGUGCAAGCAACCACGCAUAGCUAAUUUUUUAUUUAUUUUUUGUAGAUAAGAGGUCUCACUUUGUUGCCCAAGGUGAUCUCACACUCCUGGGCUCAGGAGGAUUGCUUGAGCCCACGAGGUGGAGAGGUCACAGUGAGCUGAGAUGGCACCAUGGCACCCCAGCCUGGGCAACAGAGUCAGGCUUUGUCUUAAAGAACAUGGUUUGUUUAUUUAGAUUUCCUUUUAUGCCCUUUAGCAAGUUUUAUUUUAUUUUUUUUCCAUGAAGUUCUUGAACAUUUUGUGAGGGUUAAAUUUAUUAUUUUACUUAUUUUUACAUAUAGCUAUUAGAGAGGAUCUUUAUUUUUUAGUUCUCAUAUGUUUUCUAGUUAGUUACUACUAGAGUAACUUGUCAUCCUAGUUUAUACCUGCUACAUGCCAUACAUUUAUUCCCAUUGUCCUGGUUUGGAUAAUUAAAUCGUGUGGCCUUAGUUAUUACCAAUGUUACCAUUUAGGAUUUCAUUGUUUCAAAUAACAGAAAACCUCACUAGUAGGUUGUUAACAAAUAAGAGAGAUAUUUAUCUCAUAACAGAAAUCUGCAUGUAGGUGGUCCAGUGCUGGUGUAACAGCGCCAUAGUAUGUUCAGGAACCCCGCCUUGUCUUCCAGCACUACUAUCUUUAGAAUGUGUCUUUCAUCCUCAGUUGUAAGAUGGUUUCUGCGCCUUCUUGCAUCUUUUCUAUCUUCGAGACAUAAAGGAAUAAAAAUGAAGAGCAAAGUGAGUUUUUGUUUUCUUUUCUGGAAAGAAUGAGUUCCCCAGCAGCAUUUGCCUGCAUUUGAUUUACCAGAACUACCAGACACAUGGCCAUCUAGUUGCAGAGGCAGUUAAGGAGAAACAAGGAUUAAAUAUAUAAUUUAAGAACUUAAACUUUAUUCCGUAGAGAGGUAUAUGUUCAAGGUUUUUGAACCGGGGCAUGACAUAAUAAAAUGGAGAUUAGAAGGACUCAUUUGGAAAUGGUCUGGAGAAUGAGUUAGGCAAAUGAUUCUGGAGGCAAAGAAAGCCUAGCAGAUUGAUUAAAGUGGAGAAGAGCACUGAAGUCCAGUUAGAAAACUCAUUUAAUCAAUAUACUCAGCCUUUUGUGAUAAUGGUAAUGAUUUGGGGGUAGACUAGUAACCUUGAAAACAGAAAGGAAUAGUGGCUUGUCUUAGCGACUGUCCAGAAAGACUCAGCUGAUCAUUAAAUUUUGGGAAUUCUUGAGAAGGCCAGUUUUCUUUCAUUCUAAACAGUUAACAUAGUUAAGGAUAAGGAACAUAAGUAAGGAUACAUUUAAGGAAAUAGAAUGUUUAAAAUAGCUUAAAAAAUUCUCUUGGCCAACUUUUUGAUGAAGUUGGUAAGGUAACAAUGUAAGUCUAAGAGCCCAGGCAUAUUUACUGUCAUGAUUUUCUUAGUAAUGAACAGGGUAAAGAAAAUACUAGCACUAAAAUCUAGAAAACAUGCCAUUUUCAUGGCAAAUAUUAAUGUUCUCCAGCUACGUAUUGUUUGGAUGAUGCUGGAACAAGAGGGCUAACUCAUGACACCUCUGUUGUGAUAGAGCAACAUGCCUAGGGAUUGAAUGGAGGGAACUCCUAACAGAAUUUGAGUUGUGCCUUCUUCAUAUUGGAAGUAUGUGGGCAUUUGGUUUUUUUUGUUGUUGUUGUUUGUUUUGUUUGUUUUGUUUUGUAAAUAAGUGUCUGAGGCAGGAAGGGGCAAUCUUUUUGGUGUGUUACCACUUCAAGUUUUUCUACCAGUGCAAGCCAGAAAUAAGCUGAAAGAACAAACUAGGAAAAAGAAGAGCUGUGCUAUAGCUUUCGUGGUCUAGAUCUUGAUUUUGGCAUGGCAUGUCAAAAUGUAGAAAAAACUUACCUUCCCAACAUUUGAUAUUUCAUGUUAGGACUGCCUCUGACUCUAGCUAUGUUUCAUGUAACAUCCUUUCCAUUUUGCUGCUUCUGGGAAUCAGUAAAUAUUACAGAAAAGGUAUUCUAUAUCCCUGUGUUAAUACGGAUUUGUACAACUCUUGUCAGAAACUAGGUAACCUAGUCUUUAAUAAUAACCUUGCAACCUAGUCUUUAAUAAUAAUAAUAAUUUAAUAAUAAUCUCGACAUCCAUUCUUAGCAGUGAUUCUUAAGUCUUUUUGAGCUACUCCUUGCCCCACCAUUACCAGUAAUCUAAUGAAAGCAAACAUUCUUUUUUCUCCCAGAGAAAGGGUCAUAUACUCAUACUUUAAAAGUUUUCUGUAAAAUAUUAGGAGCCCAGUGCAGUGGCUCACGCCUGUAAUCCCAGCACUUUGGGAGGCUGAGGCAGGAUAAUUGCUUGAGCUCAGGAGUUUGAGACUAGCCCGGGCAAUAUAGUGAGAUCUUAUCUCUACA